rnacentral:lncRNA from 1 species
GCUUUCCAUUGUUGAGAAGACUGGUUUCAUUGUACCAUUCACUUGAAUUUCCCCAUAGUUUCUUAUAAUCAUCAAGCAAAUGGACUUUGAAACUCGAUCUCAACUUAUCAAAGUAAUUAUAGUACGGCUCAUUCAUGGCAACAUACAAAUUCCUCCAAGGUUGUACCAUCCCUUUGAGCUUGUCAAGAAGAACAUCCGGCGAAGUAUCGGAAUCCAAAUGAGGCCAUAGCUCCUUAUUUUGAGCUUUCUCCCCACGCACCACACAUCCGGCGAAGUAUCGGAAUCCAAAUGAGGCCAUAGCUCCUUAUUUUGAGCUUUCUCCCCACGCACCACAUGAACUGCGUCGAAAUCCCAGUCCAUUCUUCCACU